rnacentral:snRNA from 1 species
AUACUUUGGCAGUGCAUACACUAAAAUUGGAACAAUACAAUGAAGAUUAGCACGGCCCCUGCACAAGUAUGACACGCAAAUUCAUGAAGGGUUCCUUAUUUUU